UCUAAUAUGGCAGAUUAGUGCAACGGGUUUAAGCUCCGUAUAUAAAGUAUUUCUACUUUUUUUAGAA
rnacentral:tRNA from 1 species